CGGAGGGUCCGAGCGUUAUCCGGAAUCAUUGGGUUUAAAGGGUGCGCAGGCGGUAAAGUAAGUCAGUGGUGAAAUCCUGCAGCUCAACUGCAGAACUGCCAUUGAUACUGCUAUACUUGAAUGUAGUCGAAGUGGGCGGAAUGUGACAUGUAGCGGUGAAAUGCUUAGAUAUGUCACAGAACACCGAUAGCGAAGGCAGCUCACUAGACUAAUAUUGACGCUGAGCUGCGAAAGCUAGGGGAGCAAACAGGAUUAGAUACCCUGGUAGUCCUAGCCCUAAACGAUGCUCAUUAGAUGUGGGAGGUAUCGACCCCUUCCGCGUCGCAGCUAACGCAUUAAAUGAGCCGCCUGGGGAGUACGGCCGCAGGGUUG
rnacentral:rRNA from 1 species